AAAACCGAAAGUCCCCAGAAAACAACGCGGGUUGCAUAGCCCAGUUCUCAAAACAAGAAACAACAUGAAAAAAUGUGGGAAUUUUUUGCCAAGUUUUGUGGUUAAUGACCGGUAGCCCCUUAUUAGAGAUUAUGCGUGGGGACUGUCCUGAAAUGGAGAGAUAUUGGGGCUCAUUUUCUUGAAGACUGAAAGACUACACACAUGAGGGAGCAAGGAAAUCAUGUUGAGUUUUUAUACAAAAAUAUAAAUGCACAAGUUGAUAUAAAGACACUCAACACAUAUUUAGGACUUCUGGCUUCUACUUCUAAUACUUCAGUCUUCUUCAUACCAAUAUUUAAACCUCUCCACAGCAUUUCUCCAUUUAUUAAAUUCCUCAAAACACCGUUUCCUAUAAAUGUGGUCAGCUGUUGGACUAAAUAAUUUUUGUACUUUAUUAAACUUUUUUAUUUCUUCA